UAUAUACACGUGCAUAUUCAUAGGC
rnacentral:piRNA from 1 species